ensembl:lncRNA ALMS1P1 ALMS1 pseudogene 1
GAGCUGGAUGGUGCCGGUGUCCAGGAUAACUUCACUGUAGCCCUGGUCCCGGGCAAACUGGAGGACAGUCCUGACCAGGGCUUUUGCUAUCCCCUGACGACGGUGCUCACUGUCCACAAAGAGAUGAAACAGCUGCAACCGCUUCUCCCUCAAGGUGGGAUCAUCAACAGGCAGAGCUCCUACCAUGCCCACCACCUUCUCUUCAGACUCAGCCACCCAGAAGCAGGAGCCACGCUCACUCAGGUGGCAAACCAUGUGAUUUCUUCUGACUCUAUUUCCUCUUCUGCCAGUAGUUUCCUGAGCUCGAACUCUACUUUUUGCAACAAGCAGAAUGUACACAUGUUAAACAAGGGCACACAAGCAGGUAACUUGGAGAUUGUGAACGGUGCCGAAAAACACACUCGAGCCAACUCCAAGUUCCAGCGAGGCUAAAUUGGAAGAGGACAGUGAUGUGACUUCUUGGUCAGAAGAAAAACAUGAAGAGAAAAUGCUCUUUACCAGUUAUCCUGAGGACAGAAAGUUAAAAAAGAACAAGAAGAAUUCCCAUGAAGGAGUUUCCUGGUUUGUUCCUGUGGAAAAUGUGGAGUCUAGAUAAAAAGAAGGAAAACAUGCUCAAGACUCAUGACCCUGGCAUCUCCCGGUUGGAACCAGUAACCAAGACCAAGCCGUGGAGGGAGCCACUGUGGGAGCGGAACUGGCAGGGGCAGCACCUGGACAGUCGGGGCUACCUGGCAGGCCCAGGCAGAGAGGAUGGCAGAAACCCACUGAAGCUGUUUGUGAGAGCAACCCUGCAGGAAUCGCUUCAGUUUCACAGACCUGACUUCAUCUCCCACAUUGGGGAGCGGAUAAAGCGUCUGAAGUUAAUAGUCCAGGAGAGAAAGCUGCAGAGCAUGUUAAAGAGCGAGCGGGAUGCGCUAUUCGACAUUGACAGGGAACGGCAGGGCCACCAGAAUCGCAUGCGCCCACUACCCAAGAGAGUCUUCCUGGCUGUCCAGAAGAACAAGCCUAUCAGCAAGAAGGAAAUGAUUCAGAGGUCCAAACGAUAAAGGAAGCUUUUCAAGAUCCACCAACUGAGGAUAAUCAAACCUUCCACAGUCUAGAACCUGGAGAUUGUGUCUUCUGGAAAUGACAUCAGAGAAAGGCUGCUCUUGACAACUCUUUGGAAGGGACCGUGCUGAGAUCUUCUCAACACCUACACUGCAGUGAAGCUUCAGGGCCUUGAAACUUGGGUCCACACCUCACAACUCAGAAGGGCCUCUUCAGACUCCUGGAACUGUACACCUGCUGGAGACUUUAAGGUAAAGCUGUCUAAGGAAAUAUCUCUCCAGAGCAGCGGGCAUUCUAGCUGUGGACAGCUUUCCCAAGAUCACAGAUCAAGACUUCUGUAUCAUCAUGAAAGCCUUACAUUUUUUCUUUUCUCCGCAUUUCCUGUUGCCCUAAUUCUUUCUUUUUCCCUACAGAAAAAUCCAUGGGACGAUAAUCAGUGGAUGGCUUUAGCUUGAGCAUAUGCUCUAGCACAGAACCAGAGUUUGUGGCUUAUUGGGUUUGUUUUUAUUGCCAAAAAAAUAAGGAAACAAUUCCGCUAAUGCCAAUGCCUCUCCAUGUUGCCAAUGAGAGUCACCCCAAAAUUCCAAGGGAAGGAUAGAAAGCUAUCCUUGAUAUUCUGAACACCAUUGCUACUUGUUUUCCUGCACUCACUAAAAGCAACACUUUAACUUUUCCUUUUUUUUUUUUUUUCUGAGGCAGUCUCACUCUGUUGCCUAGGUUGGAGUGCAGUGGCCUUAUCUUGGCUCACUACAGCCUCCACCUCCAAGGUUCAAGCAAUUCUCCUGCCUCAGCCACCCAAGUAGCUGGGACUCUAGGCAUGCACCACCGCAUCCAGCUGAUUUUUGAAUUUUUAGUAGAGACUAGAUUUUGCUAUGUUGGCCAGGCUGGUCUCGAACCUCCUUGCCUCAAGUGAUCCACCAGCCUCGGUCUCCCAAAGUUCUGGGAUUACAGGCGUGAGCCACCAUGCCUGGCCUUAACUGUUUCAAUUAAUAACCUGAUCAAUACCAAAAUAUAGAAAACCAGUCCAAGUGAUGCCUGCAAAAGAUAUAUUGUGCUUUCAGGCAUCAUGCACUCAAGUUACGGGAAUUACCUAUGUGAGUACAAGUAAUUGCUUGUAUAAUAUCACCAGAUUAAAUUCAACAGGGUCUCUUUUUACUAAAUGUGUUAUACACCCUUACAACAUACUACAGGGCGAGCACAAAAAGGUCAAUUUCCCAGUGGAUUUUGUUCAGGAGCUGUGUAGGUUUAUUAAUGAACAAAUCUAACUGACCCCUGCUCAAAUGCAACUAUGUGGCCCUGUUUUUCAACUCCCAAGGGCCUAUACUGGGUCUGUGGAUAAUCUGCGCAUUUCAUUCUGCCUCCUCGUUGACUCAGACCUUGCUGUUUGGUCUGGCUCACUUCUGCCUUUCAAAUAGUUUCACCUAAAAAUUCUCCUAACAGCUCUUAUGAUUGGAGGCCAAAAUAGACAAUAACUGAAAUUAGCACUAGCUUUGAAAUAGACAAAGAUAAGCUAGUUUCCACUGAGGAAAGAUUCCAGUGGGGUUCCUGGGGACUCACUCUUGGUGGUGGUGGGAUACUAGUUGUAUGGAAUCUGAAGCUAAUCCAUAUUUGGGGUCUUGGAUUUUAUAGCCAAUCAGACAUCCCAAUGUUCCAGACAGGUAGAAGCUACUCUCCAAAAGGUAGAUGUGGCCUGGUGCAGUGGCUCAUGCCUGUAAUUCCAGCACUUUGGGAGGCUAAGGCAGGUGGAUCACCUGAGGUCAAGAGUUCGAGACCAGCCUGCCCACCAUGGUGAAACCCCAUCUCUCCUAAGUACAAAAAAUUAGCCAGGCAUGGUGGCGUGUGCCUGUAGUCCCAGCUACUUGGGAGACUGAGGCAGGAGAAUUGCUUGAACCCAGAAGACAGAGGUUGCAGUGAGCUGAGAUCACCCCACUACACUCUAGCCUGGUUAACAGAGCGAGACCCUUUCUCACAAAAAAAUAAAUAAAUAAAUAAAUAAAUAAAUAAAUAAAUAAAUAAAAUAAACGAGGUAGAUGUUACAGUUAAUGGAACAUCAUGCAGCUUCAUAUCUCCUUUUUACUCAAGCUGGGGCCUAUGUUUGGUAUUGAACAAAAUGGAAUGCUGCAAUUUUCUCUCUACUGAUUUUGUUACUACAGAAAGCUUAAUGUAAAGGUGGCUGAUACUGCUGUUUCCUUAGACACUGACACCAAAUACAAUAAAGAAGUCUCUCAAGAGGAAAACAUGGUGUGUUUACAGGAGCAACUAACAGUUGGUUUGUAGGCAUCCUAAAUGGUGGAUGGCAAGCUUGGGUUUCCCAAAGGUUUCUAGUCUUUAUAUGUCUUCUAGUAGGUGUCCAGGUUAGUAUGGCCUGUGUUACCAGAGUAACAAUGAAAAUGGCUACGUCUUUAAAUCAGGCCACUUUACAGUGAACUAUGGUCCUUAAUUGCUAUCACAUUUCAAACAAGAACUAUGACCAAUUAAACUUUACUAUUGUUGAACUGCCUAUGUUGCCUGAACUUUGACUGGUUUAAGUUGGUUUCAUUUAUUUCAUAAGAACUCUUGUUAAGGGGUGCACCUUGGUAUUUUGAUAUUAUUCUCUUGAUAGUCAUAAUAAUAGUUCCCUGGUGUGCUGCAUCCUCUCAAGUCAUAAAUGUUUUGUAUGCAGCCAUACAUUGAGAAUUGAAUGGUCUCACUUCAACUAGGUCAGCAAGAACAUAAAGAAUCAUUUACCUAGUGUGAAGUUGUGACUUGUGAACUUCAUAGUGACACCAAUAAAGACUUGUGAACUCCA